GGGCGUGUGGCUGAGAAGCAAAGGCAUCAGACUGUAAAUCUGACGGGGUUUCCCCUUCGCAGGUGCAAGUCCUGCCGCGCCCA
rnacentral:tRNA from 1 species